AACAGCCCCAUUCUUGCCUUGCUGGGCCUGGAGACUUCUUAAAAGAGCAUGCCUCUGUCAGGCGGGUGAGGGAGGGCCACUAGCUGGAGUUGAUUUGCCAGUGCAGCCUGGAGCCCUCGACUCCCCUUCCCUGUGAUGGACUGAUGUAAUCCUCCUUUCAGCUCUCAGGGACAAAGCAGGAGCUCCAAAGUUCUGCUCUCCACCCUGGUACCCCUGGGCCUGGUGCUGGCGCUAGGGACCGUGGCUGUAUGGGUGGCCAGAGCCCGGCACCGGAAGAAUGUGGGUGAGUCCCCAGAAGCUCCCCUGCCUCCUCCCUCCCUGAGCCCUGAGCCCCGAGCCCCAGCACAGAUGCCUGGAGAGGAGGCCACCACAUCUCCUUUCCACAGGCUCGCGUGGGGAUUCUGAGGAGGCAGAGGCUGGGGAAUGGGGGUUAGGAGGUGCCCCCAUGCCCCCCAAACUAACAAAGUACUGCUCCCAGACUCUGCCCGUGGGAGGCCGUCUUCCAUUGCUUGGGGCUAAGUUCACCGCAAGGCUGCCAGGAGACCGGGAUGCAGGGAGACCCGGGCUUUGACCUCCUGGAUCACUACCAGGAUGCGUGACUUUGGCAUGAAACGUCCCCAUUUCAUUCCUCCAUUCCCUCAUAGUUCCAGGCAGGAUGAUAAUAACGUCCCACGGGGUGAAUGAGAACAAAAUGGGGCACUGAGUGGCAAAGGCCAGGGACCCUCAAGUCUUGAUCACCCCUGAGAAGAGACUGAGAUCUUUUCCAGCAGCUCUCGUCAGAGUCGGGGGUGCCCAUGAGAGGCCCCCAAGCCUUCGGCUGUGCUGCAGGCUGCAGAGGACCUGCUCAGAGAGGGCAGAUGCCCGGGGGCCCUCUGUACAGCCCGUUCCCACACCAAGUCUUCUUCCUUCUCAACAGACCGCAUAUCGAUUAGAAGCUACCGGACAGACAUCAGCAUGUCGGACUUCGAGAGCUCCAGAGAUUUUGGUGCCAAUGACAACAUGGGAGCCUCCUCAGUCACUCAGGAGACAGUGCUCGAAGGGAAAGUCGGUAUGUCUGGUGCCCAGGCCGUGGGACAGGCUUUGACCCCGUCCCUGGCGAGAAUACGGAGGGUGGAAACCGACCGCUCUCUCCACGCAGAGGCCAUGGCCAACGCCGAGAGCACCACGGACACUGAAGAGCCCAAGAGGGCAAAAAGGUCAUCCAAGGAGGAAGCUGACAUGGCCUACUCGGCCUUCCUGCUCCAGUCCAGCAGCAUUGCUGCCCAGGCCCAGGACGGCCCCAAGGACACCUAAGCAGCGCCGGCCGCCUGUUGCUUGCCCGUGACAAUCACCUUCAGAAUCAUGUUGAUCUUUGGGGCCCGGCUCCGGGGGCCUCCACUGCCUGCCUUCGCCCCCCUGGGCUUUCCCUCAUCCUCAGAGGUGCACUACUCCACCUUCGCCACCCUUGGUGACACUGAAGCCUGACCUAAUCGCUCCUUAGGGCUAGGCAGCGAUUAGGGGAGAGGCUCCCACCUGCAACUCCUUUCUGUUGAGAGGACUUGGGGUGCUGGGGAGGGAUUCGGGGAGGGACAACUGGGGCUCCUCUCAGGAGAGAGCCACUUGGAGCCCCCUGUGCCCCAAAGGGGAGAUUUGCCCCUCCACUCCGCUCUGCCUCCCUCCCUUCCUCUCUUCUCCUUUCCUUCAUCCCAAAGACAUGCGUGAAUCCAGGUGCCCUGCUAGACACCGGGACAGGUGUGCCUCAAAGCCAGAUCAUGGCGAAAAGGCUACGCAUGGCCCUGGAAAAGGCCUGAGUCCUCUCUGUGUCACAAGACCUCUCACCUCUGCCCUUGCUGGGUGACAUCAUAAAGUGCCAGGGUCCUGGGGCACCCACACAGUCUUCACAGAUACCCAUUCUUACACCACUGGACAAAACAGGGAGGACCUGAGAGGGACCCUCGAGGGAACCCCGUGACAUAAACCAGUGCCAAAGCAGAUUUGGCGUCUCCUGUCUUCUUGACCAGCGAUCUCUCUUCAAGACCCCUGUCCCCUGUUGGAGGCAGUUGUAGAAUAAGCAGGAAGGAAAGAAAAACAUACAUGGAGACAGAGCUUUCCCAGGCCCUAACCCAGGGAGGACAACCCUUUCCCUUCCUGUCACUCACGUGGGUCUAGGAUGGAGGAACGAUCAACUGCAACUUGAAGAGUUCCAAGUGAAGAGGAGGAAGAGCUGGUUGACCGAUCCUGGGAGGAGCUGAUCUCCCAAGAGCUAAAGAUGAAGGUCUUUUUCCCUCUCAGCUCGCUCCGUACUUCACCCAGCAUCUACAAGCUGGCACUUGCUAACAAAUCAGAAAUGUUACUUCAUAAUUAAAGACCAUGAUUGCCACCAAGGAGGCUCAGAUUGCAUUUGUCCCCGUACCUGGGGUUUCCCAGACAAUCCUUCCAGAGCAUUUUGCUUUGGUCCCACUUUUAGGCACCCAUGUCAUGCGUCGAAACCAACAGGCUCCUUCACCUCCCUGGCUGAGCUGAAGGGGGCUGGGAUGUGACGAAAAGUGGAACCAAGAUCAUCUUCAAUAAAAGAAUUGUUUUGCGUCUAUUCCAGUACUCAAGACCCUAAAGUUCUAUAUUGUAGAACAUCAGUGAGACUUCAGUGGGGUGCACUGAAAGCAAGUGGAACCUCGUAGGUGCUGAAAGAAAACUCUUGGUAAACCGUCCAUGGGACACUUAACUUUGAAUCUCGUUGCUCUCCAAGGUCAAGAUGCUGCUAAACAAAAC
rnacentral:lncRNA from 1 species